rnacentral:piRNA from 1 species
UCCAAACAGCUUGACGGUCCUCUGUCC